UACGGAGGGAGCUAGCGUUGUUCGGAAUUACUGGGCGUAAAGCGCGCGUAGGCGGUUUGUUGCGUCGGCUGUGAAAUCCCGAGGCUCAACCUCGGGUCUGCAGUCGAUACGAGCAAACUAGAGUGUUGCAGGGGAGACUGGAAUUCCUGGUGUAGCGGUGAAAUGCGCAGAUAUCAGGAGGAACACCGGUGGCGAAGGCGGGUCUCUGGGCAACAACUGACGCUGAGGAGCGAAAGCGUGGGGAGCGAACAGG
rnacentral:rRNA from 1 species